ensembl:processed_transcript
AACGCAGGCAGACGCUCUGGCAAUCUUCGUCAAACUCUGUGGUGGCGUUGGCGUCCCAGAGCUCCGGAGUUGCUUACUCUUCCUGUAAGGGCAAUCGGACCCUUUCCGGCAUGUGACAUAAUUAUCCCAGCGAUCACUAAAACUGUAAAUUUGGAUGCAAUUAAGAGAGAAAACUCCACACAUUUAUGGAAACUUAAGUGAUGGAAUGUGAUCCGGAAUGUACUCUUCUAUUUCUGAAAUCUCUGUAAAACAGUACAAUAGAAAAAUGAAAACUAAAGGCAUAAUUGAGGAAAUCCAACAUCCCACAAAAAGGAAUUCUAGAAAGCACAAGUCUCAAUCACCUGAAUAGAGACCUCUAGGAGGAAUGUCUCAGGCUACACUACCAGCAGCCUUGGGCUUUAUUUCCCGCUGACAUAGGAGUCAUCACAUUAGAAAAUGGCUAUUCAAAGAUGCCUGCUGUUGUUCAUCAGGCAAGCAUUUGUGUAAUGAGACUAUGGAGAGCACGAUAAGCCAACUUCCCAGUGUAUAUCAUAUUUCAUCGAAAACAAAAC